rnacentral:rRNA from 1 species
AUUGAACGCUGGCGGCAGGCUUAACACAUGCAAGUCGAGCGGGGUGAUGGUGCUUGCACUAUCACUUAGCGGCGGACGGGUGAGUAAUGCUUAGGAAUCUGCCUAUUAGUGGGGGACAACAUCUCGAAAGGGACGCUAAUACCGCAUACGUCCUACGGGAGAAAGCAGGGGAUCACUUGUGACCUUGCGCUAAUAGAUGAGCCUAAGUCGGAUUAGCUAGUUGGUGGGGUAAAGGCCUACCAAGGCGACGAUCUGUAGCGGGCCUGAGAGGAUGAUCCGCCACACUGGGACUGAGACACGGCCCAGACUCCUACGGGAGGCAGCAGUGGGGAAUAUUGGACAAUGGGGGGAACCCUGAUCCAGCCAUGCCGCGUGUGUGAAGAAGGCCUUAUGGUUGUAAAGCACUUUAAGCGAGGAGGAGGCUCUUUUGGUUAAUACCCAAGAUGAGUGGACGUUACUCGCAGAAUAAGCACCGGCUAACUCUGUGCCAGCAGCCGCCUAA